UACGUAGGGUGCGAGCGUUAAUCGGAAUUACUGGGCGUAAAGCGUGCGCAGGCGGUUUUGUAAGCCAGAUGUGAAAUCCCCGGGCUUAACCUGGGAAUGGCAUUUGGGGACUGCAAGGCUUGAGUGCGGCAGAGGAGACUGGAAUUCCUGGUGUAGCAGUGAAAUGCGUAGAUAUCAGGAGGAACACCGAUGGCGAAGGCAGGUCUCUGGGCUGACACUGACGCUCAUGCACGAAAGCGUGGGGAGC
rnacentral:rRNA from 1 species